CACCUAUUAGAAUUGCAGUGAAAUGACUCACUUUUUUGAUUUUACAGAGAACGCUGAAGCUGAAGGUCCAUUUAAAAUCCAUAUUGCUGCAGCAGUUGUUGUCCCUUCGCUAUGUUUCCUGAUCUUCAUAUUAACUGCUGUGAUCAUUCUCAGAGGAGUCUGCAAACGACGUUCGCAAAGAAUCACCCAGGCUCCUAGAAGACUGCAGGAGCAGAGACAACCCACUUAUGAAAACCUGGAUUUUGAAGGUCGCCAACAAUGUGGACAAAUUCAGGUUCACCCCUAUAAAUACAGGGCUCAGUGAUAUGAAUCGCACAGUAACAUAAGGCCUAACUCUUUUAAAUGAUCAACCACUUUAAACGGCUUUCUCUGUGAAUGUAUUGUAGUGAAGAGCACAGUCUGUACUUGAAGCUGCAUUAUUUUUUUUUUCUGGCUGAACUGAAGACCAGUCAGAAUGUGAGCUCAUCGAUUUGUAGUCACAAGUUAACAGCUGACAGUAGAUACCUGUCAGUUUUGUACAGGGUGUUUAAUUACUGACGAAAAUAGAUUGCUUGGAGCUCUUAAAUGCACUGUUACUCACACACUGGCUAAUGUUGUUGUUUUAAAUGAAUUCAGAACACACCCUCAUGUUAUCUUAGGCUGCUCUGCUUAGUAAUCUCAAGACUUUACAGCGUUACAGAGAGAACAAGUGCCCAUUCAGUAUGAGUUUAGUGCUGCAGUUUAUCUCUAGUGCAAAAGUAAAACUUGACACAUUUAAACAUGAUAGGGUAGUUGAGGCACUGAUUGGGAUGCUGUCUCACAGUUUAAUGUAGAGAGAAGUAGAUCAAAGUGAAAUUUAUUCAAUUAAUAAAUUAAAUUAACUUUCUAUGCUUUAAUUCUGCAGUUUUUUCCCUCAUCACCAGGUAAAUGCACAAUGCAAUUUAAAAUACAUUUUUUAUGCUGUUGCAACUUCACAGAAGAUCUCCUUUCUGUGCUUUUAAUAAGAUCCGUCUCAAUCCAUUGCAUAUAUAAAAAGUAUUAUUUCAUCACAUAUUAUAUCACUUUUAAAGCACACAGUAGCAACAACCCCAUUUCUAAAAAGUUGGGACACUGUGUAAAAUAAAAACAGAAUGCAAGUUUUACCAAAUCUAAUAAACUCAUUUUUUAUUUCAAUCAAACAUAUAAAUCAAAUAUCAAAUGUUUAAACUGAGACAUUUUACUCUUUCAUGGAAAAUAUGAGCUCAUUUUCAAUUUAAUGGCUGCAGCCUGUGUCAAGAAAGCUGGGACAGGGGCAACAAAAGACUACAAGUAAUUAGGUUAAUUGUUAACAGGCCAGUAAAACCAAUCUUUGAAAAAUACGAUGGACUGCUUUCAGAACUGCACAUGAUUAUUUUCUGCUGGCAGGUUGUUAAUGGUAUCCAUCGAGUCUAACAAUCUGCAGUCUAUGAACUAACCUCAGCUAAUGCCAGCUAACAAUGUUAGUUUGGUGGCGAGUGGCCUUUAGUAAUAGUAAUAAAUCACACAGCAAUAGUACAUCGAAGAUACUGAAGUGGCGCAUAACCCAGGUAGCUACCACAACUAAAACAAGGUGGUUGCAGUAGGCUAACGUUAGUUUUUAAAAAAGAACUUACUUCCAGAUGUUUCUUUAAGUUGGAGGUGGAGUCUUUUUAUGCUGAGAGCAACUUGGUUUCUGGCAAACAUAGUUUGCAAUGCAUGGUCAGAUUUUGCCCAUCCUUUUCUUCUUUAAAUGUUAAGUGGUGUCGGAAUUUCCAAGUAAGAAAUGCAUUCCUGCCCGUGCACUUCUGGCUCUGUUGUGCUGGCUCUGGGUCCAUUGUGUAACUGAUGCCACCAACAUUAACAGGAGACUUACUCAUAUGUUGUAUUUUAAAUACGUAACACUGGCACAUGUAUUCCGUUACUCCCCAACACUGCCCUGGACUGUAAGUUAACUCCUAUAUGAGACUUAAAUGGACAACAUUCCUCUUCCAAAAGUCCAGCAACUGGUAUUUUCAGUUUCUAGAUGUUAACACACUGUUCAUAAAAGAAGUGGGGAGGUACACCGUUCUAAACGUGGCCCUGAAACAUGCUGGAACCACAAAUUCAAAUUCAUUUCUUAAAAUGGCACAGUUUACAAGUUUACACGUUUGAUAAACAUUUUCUAAUUAAAUAGAAUAUACAUUUACAUUUGUGAGAUUUGCAAAUCAUUGCAUUUUGUUUCUAUUUACAUUUUGCACAGGAUCCCAACUUUUUUGCAACUGGGGUUAUAGAAGUGACACUUUGAGGCAGUUUUACCCCAAAACUGCGCAUCACCUGCUCCAGAUCAGACUAUGUUUGCAGGAUGAGUUACCAUGGUGAUCUAGCCAGGUUAAAGGAAAGACAAGUUUGUGACACUGCAGACUCUGACUUUAAGCUUUACACAGCUCACUAAAGCAUUAAUCCCACUUUGUACUAUACUCCUUUUGACUGCAUUCUAUAGAGAGUCAAAAAGAUGGUACAGAAGUCCCAUUUAGACUCUGCGUGACUCAGUGGAACAUAUCUCACCUACUUCCCUUGUCUGUGGUCUCUGGUGUGAAGUGGCGUAGAUGCAUAAAAAAAACAACAAAAAAACAACCACAACUCACAAAAGUGUCCUAUUUAGAUCAACAAACGGUUUAACUCCAGACACUGAUGUAGGAGGUAAUUUCCUGUGAAAUUAUUUUUUCCAUCUAAAUAAAAUCUAAAAGAGCAAACAGUGCACUGCUAUUGCACAUAACCUAUUCAGUUCAUCAGCUGGCAAAGUGCAUAAACAGAAAGCUUAAAGGUCAUGAAAGAGAAGUACAGUGCUUAAAAAAAUUAUUCAAAAGCAGUAUACAUGAGCCAAGUUUGAACUCCUGGAGGUUGGAGCUCCCCACACUGGCAGUCCACACCUCUAAUUUGAAAAGGGCCUUAAUAAAAAUAAGAACGGAUAAGUCAGAAAGAAGAAAAAACAUCUCCCUCAUCCAUAUUAGGUUAACUGGAGACUAAAAGUUGCCCAAAGGUGUGAGUGUGAAUGGCUUUCUGUCUCUAUGUGCUGACUCUGCAGUAGACACUGUUGAACCCCUCCCCCCACAGCUCAGCCUGAUUUGGAUAAGGGGUUAACAAGUUGCUCCAGUGUUUUGUUUUGUUUUUCUGAAUAGAUAUCAUUUAAUGUGUAGCACCUAUGCUUGUAGAGACUACAUUGAUCAGGUGUAACAUUAUGACUAUCUGCCUAUAUUACGUUUGCCCGUUUUUCAACUGCAGUGCACUGUGUAUUCUGACACUUUUCCAUGAGUACCAAUAUUACCUUUUUUUUUGGCAAUUUGAGCUACAGUAGCUCAUCUGUUGGACCAGACCACAAGCACCAGCCUUUGGCCUUUAAUGACCCUGUGACUAGUUCACCACUGUUCCUUCCUUAGUCCACUUUUGAUAGAUACUGACCAUUGACUGGGAACAAAGGCUGGGAGCAGGGGUUUCGAGGUGCUCUGAUCCAGUCGCCUAGUUUGCCCUUGUGACACUUGCUCAGAGCCUUACGCUUGCCCUUUUUUCCUGCUUUGAACAUAUGUAAUUUGAAGACAAAAUGUUCACUUGCUCCCUACUAUAUCCCACCCAGUAAGAGGUGCCAUGCUGAAGAGAUAAUCGGUGUUAUUUCCUCACCUGUUAGUGGUCAUAAUGUUAUACCAGAUCGGUGUAGGUACAUUACAAUCAAAACCAUAACUUUUGAAAAAUGUGAAUGACUUUAUUUUGUACAGGUUACCUCUUUUGCAAGCACAACUGUAUAUAUAAAAAAAUGGAAUGUGAGUGUUGUGUGUAUAAAACAACGAAAUAAAAGAAAAUAACAACAAAAAAAGAAAAUUCAUUUAAAAUCAUAAUAACACAAGG